GUGAAUCAUCAAAUUUUUGAACGCAAAUUGCACUCUCUUCGGAGAGUAUGCCUGUUUGAGGGUCAGCCUAAAAAAAAAUGGACAUGGUCGCUGUUUCGGGUUGCAAUUGGUGGGAAAUUGGGUCAUUUUAAACCUUGGGGUUUUAGGGGGUUUAAAUUUUUCUUAAGGAUUCAACGAAGGUUUCUAGGUUUUAUUUGUUAUAGGUUUAAGGUAUGGAUGUUUAUUAGCGGUGGCGGUGGAUCGGGAUCUGGUCC
rnacentral:misc_RNA from 1 species